ensembl:lncRNA
ACAGCAUUGUUUAUAUCGUUUUUAACCUCAUUUAACAAACAUUAAAAGUAAAAAUUAAACGUUAAACAGAAGUAAUUUACUUGUUAUAUACCAAUCUCUGUUAUUCUGUUUCCACUGUAACUGCGCUGCCCCGCGCUUGUUCUCGUGCCUGAGCUAGAGUCGUUUUUGGCGGGGAACUGCUCACGGCUGAGACCGCCGCCCUGCGUUUCACUCCUAGCCGAAAUAUACUGUGAAAUAUACUGCCCAAAAACAAUCAGUAAACAGCUCUGAGAAAAUAUCUUAACAUCCAAAGUAUUUGUAUUCUGUAUCUUUAUGAAUAAAAUCAUUUAUUUUAUUUAUUUAUUUUUAGCUUGGUUGGCUGCAAUAAGAAGAAAGGACCUUACUUUCGAUCUCCCCCCCCAGUCGAUGAGAGUGUGUUCUCUGCAUUUUCACUCGGGACAAUCUAAAAUGAUGGAUGACCCCAUUUUAAACCUGCCAGAGUCAUAACAAACAACAAGACCUGGAGUAACAAGAUAAGUGGGCAUGGCUUAUGGUCAAAAGUAAACCCAAAAUCUGCAUUUUAAUCCCAGUUCAACUGCUUCUGUGUUUUACUAAUGAAAACAUUCAAAAUGUCACUGAAGGACUCCAAGCUGUAUGAUGUCAUGAAGAAACAUUUCCAAACGUAACUGACACUUAUUAUAUCCACAGUGACUUAUAUAGUGACAAUUUACAUACUAGAGCAACAGUUGUCCUGAAGCAAGCAGAGUGCAUUAUUCUUCACAAUCUAUUUUUAUUCCUCAGGAACUGAGUGUUUAAGACUGAGGUGUGAAUUGGCAUAAAGACCUCAGGCCCAGAAGCUUUUAAGACCACCUAUAAAGAAGAAACUAUUGAAUGAUACAUCUCUGCUUGUAUUUCCCCAUGUUUACAAAGGAAGUCGUCCUCUUUUCAAACCAGAGAUAAUGCAUAAUUUAUGAGCACAUGAAUUAUGAAGUGCUGUUGAUAAGAAGACUCAGCUCAGUCUCCUGCGGUCCGUCUUCACAGGAUUCCUGUCUUUCUUACUGAUAUUAUCAAUUACAGUCAUUCUGGUAGAAGACAACAGCAUUUUUUUUUGCAUGUUUCUGUUUAGUCAUUUUUUUUAAUUUGCAUAAUUUUACUUGUCAUUUAAUUUUACUUUCUUCUGUUUUCUGCAUAUUACCUGUACUGUAUUGUGAAGUUUAUUUAUGCAUUCUGCUUUUUACUGAAAAAAAAUCAUAGUUAAUCAUUCUAAUCAUUCUAAUAUACAGAUUUACUACUCAAGCAACAUUUUGCACAACANAAACUUUAGGAUGGUAACACAUAAAAUAUUAUUAUUUUUAAUUGUACAAAAAUGUAUAAUUUUUUUAUUAACAAAAACACAAGUAAAUUUUUUUUAUAAAUAUAUAAUAUAUAAGUGAGCAGAAGCAAAACGAACAUUAUUUUCACAGUUUUCUAUACAUCUGUUAGUCUGCUCUCCAGAGUGAAUCAUUUU